rnacentral:rRNA from 1 species
AAUCAACGCUGGCGGCGUGCCUAACACAUGCAAGUCGAACGCGAAAAGGGCUUCGGCUCUUAGUAGAGUGGCGAACGGGUGAGUAACACGUGGGUGACCUACCUUUGAAUGGGGGAUAACGUCCCGAAAGGGACGCUAAUACCGCAUAACAUCCUGCCUUUGAACAGGUGGAGAUCAAAGCCGGGGAUCGCAAGACCUGGCGUUUGGAGAGGGGCCCGCGUCUGAUUAGCUAGUUGGUGAGGAACGGCCCACCAAGGCGACGAUCAGUAUCCGGCCUGAGAGGGCGGACGGACACACUGGGACUGAGACACGGCCCAGACUCCUACGGGAGGCAGCAGUGGGGAAUUGUUCGCAAUGGGCGCAAGCCUGACGACGCAACGCCGCGUGGAGGAUGAAGGUC